GGGGAAUAUUGCACAAUGGGCGAAAGCCUGAUGCAGCAACGCCGCGUGAGUGAUGAAGGUCUUCGGAUUGUAAAGCUCUGUCUUUUGGGACGAUAAUGACGGUACCAAAGGAGGAAGCCACGGCUAACUACGUGCCAGCAGCCGCGGUAAUACGUAGGUGGCGAGCGUUGUCCGGAUUUACUGGGCGUAAAGGGUGCGUAGGCGGAUGUUUAAGUGAGAUGUGAAAUACCCGGGCUUAACUUGGGUGCUGCAUUUCAAACUGGAUAUCUAGAGUGCAGGAGAGGAGAAUGGAAUUCCUAGUGUAGCGGUGAAAUGCGUAGAGAUUAAGGAAGAACACCAGUGGCGAAGGCGAUUCUCUGGACUGUAACUGACGCUGAGGCACGAAAGCGUGGGUAGCAAACAGGAUUAGAUACCCUGGUAGUCCACGCCGUAAACGAUGAGUACUAGGUGUAGGAGGUAUCGACCCCUUCUGUGCCGCAGUAAACACAUUAAGUAC
rnacentral:rRNA from 1 species